rnacentral:tRNA from 1 species
CAGAGAGUAGUUCAAAUUCAAGAAUUCUAGCUUUGGGAGUUAGCGGUAUGGGUUAAAAUCCCUUUUCUUUGA